CAGUAGCCGCGGGAAUACCAGCAGCCCAAGUGGUGGUCGCGUUUAUUGGGCCUAAAGCGCUCGUAGCCUGGCCGGUAAGUUCCCCGUGAAAUCGGGUCGCCCAACGAUUCGGCUUGCGGGGAAUACUGUCGGUCUUGGGGCCGGGAGACGCCGAGGGUACUCCGGGGGUAGCGGUGAAAUGCUGUAAUCCUCGGGGGACUACCAGUGGCGAAGGCGCUCGGCGAUAACGGGCCUGACGGUGAGGGGCGAAAGCUGGGGGCGCGAACGGGAUUAGAUACCCGCGUAGUCCCUGUCUCUUAUU
rnacentral:rRNA from 1 species